GUGGUAAUGCCGGAUGCUCCAGCUGAUCGCAUGGUCUUCUGGGAAAGCCUUUGCGGCAUGGGAUGGGGUCGCGUCCUAUCAGCUUGAUGGCGGGGUAACGGCCCACCAUGGCUUCGACGGGUAGCCGGCCUGAGAGGGCGACCGGCCACAUUGGGACUGAGAUACGGCCCAGACUCCUACGGGAGGCAGCAGUGGGGAAUAUUGCACAAUGGGCGCAAGCCUGAUGCAGCGACGCCGCGUGAGGGAUGGAGGCCUUCGGGUUGUAAACCUCUUUUGUUAGGGAGCAAGGCAUUUUGUGUUGAGUGUACCUUUCGAAUAAGCACCGGCUAACUACGUGCCAGCAGCCGCGGUAAUACGUAGGGUGCAAGCGUUAUCCGGAAUUAUUGGGCGUAAAGGGCUCGUAGGCGGUUCGUCGCGUCCGGUGUGAAAGUCCAUCGCUUAACGGUGGAUCCGCGCCGGGUACGGGCGGGCUUGAGUGCGGUAGGGGAGACUGGAAUUCCCGGUGUAACGGUGGAAUGUGUAGAUAU
rnacentral:rRNA from 1 species